rnacentral:rRNA from 1 species
AUUGAACGCUGGCGGCAGGCCUAACACAUGCAAGUCGAGCGGAUGAAGGGAGCUUGCUCCUGGAUUCAGCGGCGGACGGGUGAGUAAUGCCUAGGAAUCUGCCUGGUAGUGGGGGAUAACGUCCGGAAACGGGCGCUAAUACCGCAUACGUCCUGAGGGAGAAAGUGGGGGAUCUUCGGACCUCACGCUAUCAGAUGAGCCUAGGUCGGAUUAGCUAGUUGGUGGGGUAAAGGCCUACCAAGGCGACGAUCCGUAACUGGUCUGAGAGGAUGAUCAGUCACACUGGAACUGAGACACGGUCCCGACUCCUACGGGAGGCAGCAGUGGGGAAUAUUGGACAAUGGGCGAAAGCCUGAUCCAGCCAUGCCGCGUGUGUGAAGAAGGACUUCGGAUUGUAAAGCACUUUAAGUUGGGAGGAAGGGCAGUAAGUUAAUACCUUGCUGUUUUGACGUUACCAACAGAAUAAGCACCGGCUAACUUCGUG